rnacentral:rRNA from 1 species
UCCGUAGGCGGUGUGGCAAGUCGGAAGUGAAAUCUCUGGGCUUAACUCAGAGGCUGCUUCCGAAACUGCCGUGCUAGAGUGCGAGAGAGGCAGGUGGAAUUGCGGGUGUAGCGGUGAAAUGCGUAGAUAUCCGCAGGAACAUCCGAGGCGAAAGCGGCUUGCUGGAUCGCAACUGACGCUGAGGGACGAAAGCUAGGGGAGCAAACAGGAUUAGAUACCCUGGUAGUCCUAGCCCUAAACCAUCAGGACUUGGGGUUUGCCCUGUACGGGGCAAGUCCCGUAGCUAACGCGUUAAGUCCUGCGCCUGGGGAGUACGGUCGCAAGGCUGAA